AGGCUUCAUACAUGCAAGUCGAGGGGCAGCAUAAAUUACUUGUAAUUUGAUGGCGACCGGCGAACGGGUGCGUAACGCGUAUGCAACUUACCUUUUACUAGAGAAUAGCCAAGAGAAAUUUUGAUUAAUGCUCUAUACACUUAUUAAUUCUCAUGAAUCUAUAAGAAAAGCUCCGGCGGUAAAAGAUGGGCAUGCGUCCUAUUAGCUUGUAGGUGAGGUAACGGCUCACCUAAGCUCCGAUAGGUAGGGGUCCUGAGAGGGAGAUCCCCCACACUGGUACUGAGACACGGACCAGACUUCUACGGAAGGCAGCAGUAAGGAAUAUUGGACAAUGGAGGCAACUCUGAUCCAGCCAUGCCGCGUGAAGGAAGACGGCCUUAUGGGUUGUAAACUUCUUUUAUACAGGAAGAAACCUUUCCACGUGUGGAAAGCUGACGGUACUGUAAGAAUAAGGAUCGGCUAACUCCGUGCCAGCAGCCGCGGUAAUACGGAGGAUCCAAGCGUUAUCCGGAAUUAUUGGGUUUAAAGGGUCCGCAGGCUGUUUGUUAAGUCAGAGGUGAAAUCCUACCGCUCAACGGUAGAACUGCCUUUGAUACUGGCAAACUUGAGUUAUUGUGAAGUAGUUAGAAUGUGUAGUGUAGCGGUGAAAUGCAUAGAUAUUACACAGAAUACCGAUUGCGAAAGCAGAUUACUAACAAUAUACUGACGCUGAGGGACGAAAGCGUGGGUAGCGAACAGGAUUAGAUACCCUGGUAGUCCACGCCGUAAACGAUGGUCACUAGCUGUUUGAUGUACAUUGGUACAUUGAGUGGCUAAGCGAAAGUGAUAAGUGACCCACCUGGG
rnacentral:rRNA from 1 species